CAACAGACCCCCUCAGACGGAUGGAGGAGCCAGCUGAUUGGACGAGCAGGAGGGAAGAGAACAGACAGUCAGAGCGUCACAGAGAAGAAGAAGAAGAAGAAGAGACCCAGCAGAAAGAAAGAAGGAGGAGAAGAAGAGAAGGAGUCGGGUUUCUGUUGCUCUCUGUGCCACAGGUAACUACAUUACCCACAAUCCCUCACUCAACAGAUCACUAGGCUCGUUGUAGGUGAGCCAGGUCUGUGCAGAAUCGAUCACCGGCGAUCGCCGCCCAAUGCAUGCUGGGUAGACUUGUGUCCGACUUGCUCUGACAUCAUGCACACGUGGUCAACGAUGACCUCACGAG